rnacentral:rRNA from 1 species
AUGAACGCUGGCGGCGUGCCUAACACAUGCAAGUCGCACGAAGCACCUUACCUGAUUCUUCGGAUGAAAGUUUGGUGACUGAGUGGCGGACGGGUGAGUAACGCGUGGGUAACCUGCCCUGUACAGGGGGAUAACAGCUGGAAACGGCUGCUAAUACCGCAUAAGCGCACGAGGAGACAUCUCCUUGUGUGAAAAACUCCGGUGGUACAGGAUGGGCCCGCGUCUGAUUAGCUGGUUGGCAGGGUAACGGCCUACCAAGGCAACGAUCAGUAGCCGGUCUGAGAGGAUGAACGGCCACAUUGGAACUGAGACACGGUCCAAACUCCUACGGGAGGCAGCAGUGGGGAAUAUUGCACAAUGGGGGAAACCCUGAUGCAGCAACGCCGCGUGAGUGAAGAAGUAUUUCGGUAUGUAAAGCUCUAUCAGCAGGGAAGAUAAUGACGGUACCUGACUAAGAAGCUCCGGCUAAAUACGUG